rnacentral:tRNA from 1 species
CCUCACGUGGCGUAGAGGUAACGUGCCCUAAUUAGAGAAUAGGGAGUCGUGAGUUCGAUUCUCACCAAGAAGA